CUCCCUGUGUGCACACAGGCAGGGGAGAAAGAGAAGGGUGAGAACAGCCCUUGUGCAAAAGCAAGGCACAGGGCCUGGUAGAAGGGCUGAGGAUCCCGAGGAAGAGGCGGAAUGGGGCAGAAGCUCUGUGUCAGGCACAAAACGCCUGCCACCUAAGUUUAAAAAAAAUUCAAUGCAAUAAACUAAACUAAACUGGCAGGCUAGUACCUGAGGGCCGGCUGCUUGCUUGCUUCUAUAAAUACUAUCUGACUGGGGCUGGCUUGGGGGUUCGCUGAGGCAGGUGAAUAGCGAGCUACCAGUGCAGGGUUAGGCCUGUUUAAAACUGUUAGAAUGUUGCUUUUCUAGAUUGUUUGUUGAGAUAGGGUCUCUUGUAGCCCAGGUUGAACUUGAUGACCUUAAACUCUGCACCCUCUUGACCUAACUUCCUAAUUAAUGCCUUGGCUGCAGGCACCGUCUGCCUGCUUUCUGGUUGUUUGCUUUUGGAUGCUUGGUUUUCUUUUGUAUUCGCAGGACCGAGGCUCCCGGCCUGCUAGUGGAGCUUUCCACCCCGCAAACUGUUACAAUGUUAUUUGCUUCUCAAAAGAUUUUGCUCCUGUUUGGUUUUUGAGACAGUCACAUGGCCUCCAAUUCUCUAUCCUCCUGCCUUGGCCUCCUGGGUGCUGGGAUUUCAGGUGUUGGAAUCAUCCUAUAGUUUAUAAUUGUUUUUUGUUUGUUUGUUUGUUUGUUUUUGUUUAGAAACAACACACUAAUAUGUUACUUGUCUUCCAUUGAGCUUUUAGCACCCUUGACAUUUUCCUUCUUUUACCCUUGGCAAACACCUCACUUGUCAGGUCCUAGAUCUAAGCCUGCCUGAAGUACCAACAACAGAUUACCAUGGCUCCAUGGUCUCUGGACAGACAGGCCCUGCCUGUGCAGGAUCGGCACCGGGCACACACAACUCCGAUCCUGUAAGCGGAUGCAUAGGCCUCCUUCACGUGUUGGCCCUGUCGCUGUGAACUCACAGUUCCUACCCCUGCAUAGGCCUCAGCUCUUCUUCAAGUUCUCCCCCUUCCUGUCUGUUUCCAAUCAGCGCACUCUUGCUCUCAGUUUCAUUAGGGGGCUGAGGAAACUUGGCUUCUCUCUGGAGUUCAUAAAAAUGGAGUACAGCAGGGUGGGGCUUGCCUCCCUCCUGUUGCCUGCACUAGGCCUGGGCUCCCUGCCCCCACCUUGUGGCCACCACACCCUACCCCAGCACUGGCUGCCUCUGGGCUUUAAGCCAGGAGGCCCCAAGGAGGAAGCCCGGAGGUAAACCUCCCUGCCGUGUCCUACAGAAGAGAAGAGAGGCAUGGCAGACACAGGGCCAUGUGCAAACAAAAGCCAGGCCUUUGCUGCCAGAUGGGUGCUGAGGGAGGAAAGUAGCACGUGCGGGAGAGCCAGGUUCCCGGGUAUCCUGCCUGGCCCCACCCUCAGGAAGAUCCAGCAUCUUCUGGGGGGGGGGUGGCUGAAGAGAUGUGUCCUCAAAGCAGCAGGACAGUCCUUUUUAUGAGAUCCCCCUAGGGAUGUGUCACACUGGCCCAGGCCCUGUCUGCUCCAGGGACCUCCAAGUCCUGCUGGGGUGCCCUUCCACUGAGCACAGUCUCCACGGGUGCUCUAGAGGGUGCCAAGCCCACUCCCUCAACCCAAGACCAGGAGGACGGCCUGCCAGCCUCAGGACCUGAGAGAGCCUGACAGUGGUGCCUGACAAAAGCAGCCACGGGGAGCACAGGCUGCCACAUUGUCACUGCCAUGUCCGUACCUGCAUCCACGUCGUUGGGCCAUCCGCUAGACUGGCUGCUGCCAGCUGCUGGGGAGCGGCCUGUCCCAGGAUAGAAUACAUCAUCGACUGGACUCUCCAUCUCACUGUCGUCGAUGGACUUGGGGCGCUUGGUGGUGCUGAGGAAGAAGAAGAAGCAGCGAAUCAAGUGGACCAGAGUUCCAGCCACCCAGUUCCUGGAGUAGAGCAUGUCCAGACCUGCUCUCCCUCGGGUCACCAGGACAUCACUGAAAGCCCAUCAAGGAACAGGCAAAACACCAUCAUCUGCCUUCUACACCCGCCCACUGUUUCCUAUCAGCUCUCGGCUGUGGCUGUGCUGUGGAACUCAGUCAUUAAAGAGUGUUUUAAGCCAGUG